GAUGAACGCUGGCGGCGUGCUUAACACAUGCAAGUCGAACGAUGAAGCCCAGCCUGCUGGGCGGAUUAGUGGCGAACGGGUGAGUAACACGUGAGUAACCUGCCCUUGACUCUGGGAUAAGCCCGGGAAAUUGGGUCUAAUACCGGAUAGGAGCGCCUGUCGCAUGACGGGUGCUGGAAAGAUUUUUCGGUCAUGGAUGGACUCGCGGCCUAUCAGCUUGUUGGUGAGGUAACGGCUCACCAAGGCGACGACGGGUAGCCGGCCUGAGAGGGUGACCGGCCACACUGGGACUGAGACACGGCCCAGACUCCUACGGGAGGCAGCAGUGGGGAAUAUUGCACAAUGGGCGGAAGCCUGAUGCAGCGACGCCGCGUGAGGGAUGACGGCCUUCGGGUUGUAAACCUCUUUCAGUAGGGAAGAAGCGAAAGGACGUACCU
rnacentral:rRNA from 1 species